CAAGUUUUUAUCAAGCUUUUUGCAAAACCCUGUUACAUAGAGACAUAAGCAAUUCAUCGAGUGUUUUCAGAGAUUGAUUCAGUUCUUAAUACAGUGAAAAGAUUCCUUCUUUCCCUUAAUCUAUUUGUUGUGUUUAUGAUUUCAUACUCAAUUAUGUUGUUUGCUUCAAUUAAUAUGUCUGAGUAAUCUGCUUGUUAGGAAUAGGGUUUCUCAUUAGGGAUUCAUAUGGUUUAGUAGAUUGCCCCUUCUGGUAGGUUAUCUGUAGAAUUCUUUAUCUUUAGUUAUGUUUAAUGCUAGAUCUAGAGUAAUUAACUAGAUCUUAAAUCCAGGCAGUAGAUAUGCCCACCAUAUGUAUUUUGUAGUUGGAUCUAUUAUUUGAUGAACCUGGUUUUUAGGUGUGUAAUAAAAAUAGGGCUAUCUACUAAGGUGAACAAUCGAACUCGUUAAGAAUGCAUAUUUAGGUUAAUAAUCUCUCGGCUUCUCCGGUUAUUCUUACCUAUAUAUAUGGGGAGUUUUGCGGAACGCGACCGGUUAUUCCAUAAUUAGAGUUUGAGUUUAAGAAAGGUUCGAUAACAACCUACCUUUCAUUAGAUCUACUCACCAAUAGUUUCCUGAGAAUACCAUGUUCCUAGAUCUUUUUCUAAUCGUUUACAACACAAUCAACCUAAUGUGUUCUUACUUUGUUUUCUUACUAUUUCAAUCAUCACCUGCUAGCUUAAUCUUGAUAUUCAACUCAUUGUUUGAACAAAAGAACUUUGUGAAUUCGAUCCUUAAAUACUGCAUUUGAUCUCUUAUUGGAGAGAGUAGUUUUAGGGUAAUUUCACUACAAGAAAACAAUCGUUUUGGUAGGGAAAAAUUACUCGCUAAUCCCUCGCAAACAGCCAUACGCGAGGGACUUGCGAAGAAAUCAAGUUCCUCGCAAAUCGCUUCUCGCAAAUGGUAAAAAGUCGCAAUUCCCUCGCAAAUUUUGCGAGCAACUGUUUUCCUCGCAAAACACACGCAACUACAGUUCUAGUACUUCCCUCGCAAC
rnacentral:sRNA from 1 species